CGCUGGCGGCGUGCUUAAUACAUGCAAGUCGAACGCUCUUGACCUUCGGGUCACUAAGAGAGUGGCGAACGGGUGCGUAACACGUGAGAAACCUACCCCGAAGACGGGAAUAGCCCGAGGAAACUCGGAUUAAUACCCGAUAUCUCCACACUGUCGCAUGGCAGAGUGAAGAAAGUUCAGGCGCUUCGGGAGGGUCUCGCGGCCUAUCAGCUUGUUGGUGAGGUAACGGCUCACCAAGGCAUCGACGGGUAGCUGGUCUGAGAGGAUGAUCAGCCACACUGGGACUGAGACACGGCCCAGACUCCUACGGGAGGCAGCAGUAGGGAAUCUUGCGCAAUGGGCGAAAGCCUGACGCAGCAACGCCGCGUGGGGGAUGAAUGCCUUCGGGUUGUAAACCCCUUUCAGCAGGGACGAAAUUGACGGUACCUGCAGAAGAAGGUCCGGCCAACUACGUGCCAGCAGCCGCGGUAAUACGUAGGGACCAAGCGUUGUCCGGAAUUAUUGGGCGUAAAGAGCUCGUAGGCGGUUCAGUAAGUCGGGUGUGAAAACUCAAGGCUCAACCUUGAGACGCCACUCGAUACUGCUGUGACUUGAGUCCGGUAGAGGAGUGUGGAAUUCCUGGUGUAGCGGUGAAAUGCGCAGAUAUCAGGAGGAACACCAGCGGCGAAGGCGGCACUCUGGGCCGGUACUGACGCUGAGGAGCGAAAGCAUGGGGAGCAAACAGGAUUAGAUACCCUGGUAGUCCAUGCCGUAAACGUUGGGCACUAGGUAUGGGACCAUAUCAACGGGUUCCGUGCCGUAGCUAACGCAUUAAGUGCCCCGCCUGGGGAGUACG
rnacentral:rRNA from 1 species